AGGCAUGAACAAACUAUCACAGAACUCCGUAGUAGUGACAGUCAAACACAAUCGAGCACCGAGUGCUCGGUCCAAUAUACCACAAGCGCCAUAGUGGCGAUUAACCCCUUAUAUACAUUUCACAACAACCACUAGAGCAGGGGUUCUCAACCUUUUCUACUCCAAGGCCCACCUAUUCGUAUUUGUAACAGGGUGGGCCCAACAGACACCCCGCUUAUUUUAGCUCAUCUAUAUUCCAUUCUAAUUAUUAAGCGAUUUUUAUGUGUCACAAAGAACAACACCAGCACCUGCUACAGGUGGGAGCCUAGAAAUGAAUACAAGAAAAUCUAACUCUAGAAUAUCAAAAUUGUAUUGUGCACCAGAAAACAACGUAAAACCACACAGAGCAUUUUCAGUCAAAAGGAAUUAAUUAUCUAAAAGAGUUUUGAAACAAUUUAUUUGCAGUAGGCCUAUUUGUGCACAGCAAACAAGCAAGUAAUUAAAACCAGAAUAGACCUAAAAGAUAGCACGCACUCAAAACAAGAGAUGAAUCAUGCAAACAAGACCAGGUGUUGCUUCAGACAUGCAAACAACUAGGUUCAAAUAAUGUUCAAAUAAAUAAGUUCAAAUAGGUCCAAAUAAUGAUUAAAAUAAUUAAAAUAAUGAUUUAAAUCUGUUGCUGCAAUCUAUUAUCAACAUAAAUAGCAACAAGCAUUCCUGGGGAGUGGUUCGAGUUGGUAGCUCUUAACAGAAAAGCAUGUCCGCUCAAACGAUAACGCACAAAAACCAGCAGUAAUAAAGCGUUACUGACGUCCGUCGACUCGUCUAAAUUGAAACUGUAUUGUAUUGUAACUGUAUUGAAAAGAACGGGAUGCCUUUCAUCCUUUCCAGGACCAGGUUGUGUAUGUCCGAGGCUAUCUCCGAAAUCUGGCGACUUACUGUGUCGUUUGAAAGUGCUACUGUCAAGAGUUUUUUUCGCAGCAUCUUCCCCAAUCAUCUUGCGGCACAUAUCCACCGCAGCUGGCAGAAACAGUUCUUCCACGCUCGUAAAGGCCUUCUUGGUCUGUGCCACACGUCUAGCUACCAAGUAACUUACCAAGUAACACUUCGAUUCUUUAGCCAAUGUCGAAAUAGUCUUCUUGUGUAUUUGAAGUCCGUUUUCUUUUCUAUUGAAAUAUUCCACCAGAUUUUCAGCGAAUGCUGGAUGUCGCGUCUCCAAAUGUCGCUUCAGAUUUUAAGGUUUGAGCGCCUCAUUAGACAGCGUUAAAGCGCACUCGACACUGCGCUCUGGGCUCAACGUCGUCACCUCCAUUCACAAAACCAAAUCUAAUAUAAUCAGGGUUGUAUUUACGCAGAAUUUUAAUAGUUUACGGUAGUAUGACAUUACCAGUGCUGUCAUUCUUUCGCUUGAGAAACGUCUACAUUUUUUCCGCUAAUAUCGCCACAGAGUAGAACGUUAGCUUAACUGAGCGCCUCAACUUGAUGACGCUGUAAAGUUCGAAAGUUGUGUGUGUUUCUGUGUGUGUGUGUGUGUGUGUUUCUGUGUGUGUGUAUGUGUGUGUGUGUGUGUGGCAUGGGUCUCUCAGUGAAUUUCUGUGGCUGUACCAAUAUUUGUGUGUGUCUGUAUGAGUUAAGGUUAUCAUUGUGUGUACAACUGCGUGUUUGAGUGUGUGUCUGUCUGUGUGUGUGCGUAAGUAUGUGUGUAUGUUUGUGUUUGUGUAAUUACACGUGGGCAGGCGCAGGUGUGAACCAAUCACACGUCCUUGACAGCCCCUUCCUGGUC
rnacentral:lncRNA from 1 species